UGAGAGUUUGAUCUUGGCUCAGGAUGAACGCUGGCGGCGUGCCUAAUACAUGCAAGUCGAACGAACUUCCGUUAAUUGAUUAUGACGUACUUGUACUGAUUGAGAUUUUAACACGAAGUGAGUGGCGAACGGGUGAGUAACACGUGGGUAACCUGCCCAGAAGUAGGGGAUAACACCUGGAAACAGAUGCUAAUACCGUAUAACAGAGAAAACCGCAUGGUNUUCUUUUAAAAGAUGGCUCUGCUAUCACUUCUGGAUGGACCCGCGGCGUAUUAGCUAGUUGGUGAGGUAAAGGCUCACCAAGGCAGUGAUACGUAGCCGACCUGAGAGGGUAAUCGGCCACAUUGGGACUGAGACACGGCCCAGACUCCUACGGGAGGCAGCAGUAGGGAAUCUUCCACAAUGGACGCAAGUCUGAUGGAGCAACGCCGCGUGAGUGAAGAAGGGUUUCGGCUCGUAAAGCUCUGUUGUUAAAGAAGAACGUGGGUAAGAGUAACUGUUUACCCAGUGACGGUAUUUAACCAGAAAGCCACGGCUAACUACGUGCCAGCAGCCGCGGUAAUACGUAGGUGGCNAGCGUUAUCCGGAUUUAUUGGGCGUAAAGCGAGCGCAGGCGGUCUUUUAAGUCUAAUGUGAAAGCCUUCGGCUCAACCGAAGAAGUGCAUUGGAAACUGGGAGACUUGAGUGCAGAGAGGACAGUGGAACUCCAUGUGUAGCGGUGAAAUGCGUAGAUAUAUGGAAGAACACCAGUGGCGAAGGCGGCNGUCUGGUCUGCAACUGACGCUGAGGCUCGAAAGCAUGGGUAGCGAACAGGAUUAGAUACCCUGGUUCCAUGCCGUAAACGAUGAUUACUAAGUGUUGGAGGGUUUCCGCCCUUCAGUGCUGCAGCUAACGCAUUAAGUAAUCCGCCUGGGGAGUACGACCGCAAGGUUGAAACUCAAAAGAAUUGACGGGNGCNNGCACAAGCUGGAGCAUGUGGUUUAAUUCGAAGCUACGCGAAGAACCUUACCAGGUCUUGACAUCUUCUGACAGUCUAAGAGAUUAGAGGUCCCCUUCGGGGACAGAAUGACAGGUGGUGCAUGGUUGUCGUCAGCUCGUGUCGUGAGAUGUUGGGUUAAGUCCCGCAACGAGCGCAACCCUUAUUACUAGUUGCCAGCAUUAAGUUGGGCACUCUAGUGAGACUGCCGGUGACAAACCGGAGGAAGGUGGGGACGACGUCAAAUCAUCAUGCCCCUUAUGACCUGGGCUACACACGUGCUACAAUGGAU
rnacentral:rRNA from 1 species